rnacentral:tRNA from 1 species
CAGGAUAUAGUUUAUUUGGAAUUUUAUAUUUGGGUUAUAAGGGAGUUGUGUCUUGA